ACGGUGAAAGAGAGCUUGCUCUCUGGAUCAGUGGCGAACGGGUGAGUAACACGUGAGCAAUCUGCCCUUGACUCUGGGAUAAGCGCUGGAAACGGCGUCUAAUACCGGAUACGAGCUGCGAAGGCAUCUUCAGCAGCUGGAAAGAACUUCGGUCAAGGAUGAGCUCGCGGCCUAUCAGCUUGUUGGUGAGGUAAUGGCUCACCAAGGCGUCGACGGGUAGCCGGCCUGAGAGGGUGACCGGCCACACUGGGACUGAGACACGGCCCAGACUCCUACGGGAGGCAGCAGUGGGGAAUAUUGCACAAUGGGCGCAAGCCUGAUGCAGCAACGCCGCGUGAGGGACGACGGCCUUCGGGUUGUAAACCUCUUUUAGCAGGGAAGAAGCGAAAGUGACGGUACCUGCAGAAAAAGCACCGGCUAACUACGUGCCAGCAGCCGCGGUAAUACGUAGGGUGCAAGCGUUAUCCGGAAUUAUUGGGCGUAAAGAGCUCGUAGGCGGUUUGUCACGUCUGCUGUGAAAACUGGAGGCUCAACCUCCAGCCUGCAGUGCGUACGGGCAGACUAGAGUGCGGUAGGGGAGAUUGGAAUUCCUGGUGUAGCGGUGGAAUGCGCAGAUAUCCCGAGGAACACCGAUGGCGAACGGCAGAUCUCUGGGCCGUAACUGACGCUGAGCAGCGAAAGGGUGGGGAGCAAACAGGCUUAGAUACCCUGGCAGUCCACCCCGUA
rnacentral:rRNA from 1 species